AUAAACUUCAUAAUUGUAAUUCGACAUAAAUUUAUGACAAUAACAACAUUUUAUCCCUGAUUCAUUAGUAAGAACACUUCAACUAGCUAGCUAGCUAAAUACUCCAUUAGCACAUCAAAGCGCAAUUAUUACAAAAUGUAUUCACUGUCAGCAAGAGACGGAUAAUGCAGAUGGAAUAUAAAUCUCUCUUGAUAGUCUUCUGAAGUACUCAUAUAAUAGUAUGGGAAUUUCUUCAUGUACCCAUUCAUAAAAUUUAAUGCCAGUCUUGAAUACAUCCACCCUUU
rnacentral:lncRNA from 1 species